rnacentral:rRNA from 1 species
GACGGAGGGUGCAAGCGUUGUUCGGAUUGACUGGGCGUAAAGGGCGUGUAGGCGGUUGGUCAAGUCUGGUGUGAAAGCCCAGAGCUCAACUCUGGAACUGCCCUUGAAACUGUAUGGCUUGAGGAUGAGAGAGGUGAGUGGAAUUCCCAGUGUAGAGGUGAAAUUCGUAGAUAUUAGGAAGAACACCAGUGGCGAAGGCGGCUCACUGGCCCGGUACUGGACGCUGAGGCGCGAAGGCUAGGGGAGCGAACGGG